rnacentral:rRNA from 1 species
UACGUAGGGUGCGAGCGUUAAUCGGAAUUACUGGGCGUAAAGCGUGCGCAGGCGGUUUUGUAAGACAGGCGUGAAAUCCCCGGGCUCAACCUGGGAAUGGCGCUUGUGACUGCAAAGCUGGAGUGCGGCAGAGGGGGAUGGAAUUCCGCGUGUAGCAGUGAAAUGCGUAGAUAUGCGGAGGAACACCGAUGGCGAAGGCAAUCCCCUGGGCCUGCACUGACGCUCAUGCACGAAAGCGUGG